CAGAUGGACUGACCCACAGGCAUCCACAUGUGGUGCUGAAGAAGCCGUGAGGAAAGGGGGAGGUGGGAAGGGCCUCGUCCAGGGUGUCUGGCUGCACAGGAGACAUAGCAGCUCCCACUGGCACCCUGCAUACAAGGGAAAGGCCUCGAAAUGCGCUCACCAAAGCCUCAGAGUUUUAUUAUCAGGAGCUCACAUUCAGGAGCAGGUCUGCUUGUCAAGAGUCCAAGCACGCCUGUGUUCUGUGGCCACAGGAGAGGAGGGGCCGCUUUUAAAUACAAGCCUACUCCUGUCGUUGGACCAGAACAAAGACCUACUGGCCAGAAGCACAUGAGAGGAGGAGUUUCACUCUUGUCGCCCAGACUAGAGCGCAAUGGUACGAUCUUGGCUCACUGCAACUUCCACCUCCCGAGUUCAAGCAAUUCUCCUGACAGAAGUCCACUCAAGCCAGCCAUUGUAGCUAGCAUCGGGGCUCCAGCCGUCAGCUGGGAUUACAGGCGUGCACCACCCA
ensembl:lncRNA novel transcript, antisense to C22orf25